AGCUCUCCUUCAACCGCCACUCUUCUUCAUCUCCGAUCAUGGUGUCUGCUAGGGAUUUGGGGAGCCGGUCAAUAGAGGUUUAAAUACUUUUCUUCUUCAAUCGGGGCCUUCUGUGCGAGUUCACCUAGAGAAACGAAGGCUGUCCAAUCGCACUUAUUUGGGAAACACAUUAGGACUGUUCGAAUAGAGACACGCGGGCUAUUUGAGACAAUAACUGUAUGUGUUCGAGCUCAGUACUUACUGAGCCGUUCUGGCCAAGGC
rnacentral:lncRNA from 1 species